UAAAUCUAACAUUGAGAAAUGC
rnacentral:siRNA from 1 species